rnacentral:rRNA from 1 species
UACGGGGGGGGCAAGCGUUGUUCGGAAUUACUGGGCGUAAAGGGCUCGUAGGCGGCCAACUAAGUCAGACGUGAAAUCCCUCGGCUUAACCGGGGAACUGCGUCUGAUACUGGAUGGCUUGAGUUCGGGAGAGGGAUGCAGAAUUCCAGGUGUAGCGGUGAAAUGCGUAGAUAUCUGGAGGAAUACCGGUGGCGAAGGCGGCAUCCUGGACCGGCAUUGACGCUGAGGAGCGAAAGCUAGGGGAGCAAACGGG